rnacentral:tRNA from 1 species
CGGGGUGUGGCCUAGUGGAUUAAGGCGCUUGCAUGGGGUGCAAGAGAUCGGGAGUUCGAAUCUCCCCACCCCGACCA